rnacentral:rRNA from 1 species
CUGGCGGCAUGCUUAACACAUGCAAGUCGAACGGACUGAUUCCUUCGGGAUGAAAGUUAGUGGCGAACGGGUGAGUAAUGUAUGAGCAACCUGCCUCUGUCAACGGGAUACCUACUGGAAACGGUAGUUAAUACGGUAUAUGACCACAGCAUCGCAUGGUGCAGCGGUGAAAGAUUUUAUCGGACAGAGAUGAGCUUGCGUCUGAUUAGGUAGUUGGUGAGGUAACGGCCCACCAAGCCGCGAUCGGUAGCCGGACUGAGAGGGUGAACGGCCACAUUGGGACUGAGAUACGGCCCAGACUCCUACGGGAGGCAGCAGUGGGGAAUAUUGGGCAAUGGGGGAGACCCUGACCCAGCAACGCCGCGUGAAGGAAGAAGGUUUCGGAUUGUAAACUUCUGUCCUAUGAGACGAAGGAAGUGACGGUAUCAUAGGAGGAAGCCCCGGCUAACUACGUG